CAAUAGCGUAUACUAAUGUUGUUGCAGUUAAAAAGCUCGUAGUUGAACUUCUGGUAGGAGUGUCCCGGCCUUUUUGUUUUUACAAAUUGUAUGCUGUGUGACAUCUCUGGCCAUCCUUCUUCUUUGUUUAAAGAAGAUCUUUCACCGUAAAAAAAUUAGGGUGUUCAAAGCAAAAGUUUCUUUGGAAUAUAUUAGUAUGGGAUGAUAAGAUAGGCUCUAGAUGCUAUUUUGUUGGUUUGCACAUUUAGAGAAUGAUUAACAGGGACAGUUGGGGGUAUUCGUAUUUACAUGUCAGAGGUGAAAUUCUUGGAUUUUGGAAAGACGAACUACUGCGAAAGCAUUUACCAAGGAUGUUUUCAUUAA
rnacentral:rRNA from 1 species